GAUGAACGCUGACAGAAUGCUUAACACAUGCAAGUCAUUGGCGAAGCUGCGCUUGCGCAGUCUAGCCAAGGCGGACGGGUGAGUAACGCGUAAGGAACUUGCCCUGCAGACAGGGAUAACAGACGGAAACGACUGAUAACACCUGGUAUUGUCAGGCUGGCGCAUGCCGGCCUGAUGAAAGGAGACGCUGCAGGAGAGCCUUGCGUCCUAUUAGCUAGUUGGUGGGGUAACGGCCCACCAAGGCGAUGAUAGGUAGCCGGCCUGAGAGGGUGAACGGCCACAAGGGGACUGAGAUACGGCCCUUACUCCUACGGGAGGCAGCAGUGGGGAAUAUUGGACAAUGGGGGCAACCCUGAUCCAGCAAUUCUGUGUGCACGAAGAAGGUUUUCGGAUUGUAGAGUGCUUUCAGCAGGGAAGAAGAAAGUGACGGUACCUGCAGAAGAAGCGACGGCUAAAUACGUG
rnacentral:rRNA from 1 species